rnacentral:rRNA from 1 species
ACGGGGUGCAGCAGGCGCGAAAACUCCGCAAUACACGAAAGUAUGACGGGGGAACCCCGAGUGCACUCACGCAAGUGAGCGCUUUUGUGAAGUGUAAAUAGCUUCAUGAAUAAGAGCUGGGUAAGACCGGUGCCAGCCGCCGCGGUAACACCGGCAGCUCGAGUGGUGAUCGCUAUUAUUGGGCCUAAAGCGUCCGUAGCCGGUUUGGUAAGUCCUUGGGCAAAUCCUGUCGCUUAACGGCAGGAAUUCUGAGGAUACUGUCAGACUUGAGGCCGAGAGAGGUCGGAGGUACUUCUGGGGUAGCGGUGAAAUGCUAUAAUCCUAGAGGGACCACCGGUGGCGAAAGCGUCCGACUAGAGCGGGCCUGACGGUAAGGGACGAAAGCCAGGGGAGCGAACGGGAUUAGAUACCCCGGUAGUCCUGGCCGUAAACGCUGUGGGCUAGGUGUUGCAUGCUCUACGAGGGCGUGCAGUGCCGAAGAGAAGUUGAUAAGCCUACCGCCUGGAAGUACUAUCGCAAGAU